rnacentral:rRNA from 1 species
GACGAACGCUGGCGGCGUGCUUAACACAUGCAAGUCGAACGGAAAGGCCCCUUUGUGGGUCCUCGAGUGUCGGACGGGUGAGUAACACGUGCGUAACCUGCCCUUGCCUUCGGGAUUACUUUAGGUACCUGGGGCUAAUACCGGAUAGGAAUCCUUGCUGCAUGGUGGGGGUUCGAUAGCUUCGGCGGUUUUUGAUGUACUCGCGGCUUAUCAGCUUGUUGGUGGGGUUGUGGCUUACCGAGGCUUUGACGGGUAGCCGGACUGAGAGGGCGACCGGCCACAUUGGGACUGAGGGACGGCCCAGACUCCGACGGGAGGCAGCAGUGGGGAAUAUUGAACAAGGAGCGGAAGCCUGAUGCAGAAGCGCCGCGGGCGGGAAGACGGCCUUCGGGUUGUAGACCGCUUGCAGCAGGGGCGAAGCUUGUGGUGACGGUACCUGCAGAAGAAGCACCGGCUAACUACGUG